rnacentral:misc_RNA from 1 species
GAAAUGCGAUAAGUAAUGUGAAUUGCAGAAUUCAGUGAAUCAUCGAAUCUUUGAACGCACCUUGCGCUCCUUGGUAUUCCUUGGAGCAUGCCUGUUUGAGUAUCAUGAAAUCUUCAAAGUAAAUCUUUUGUUAACUCACUUGGUUUCUACUUUGGUAUUGGAGGUCUUUGCAGCUUCACGCCUGCUCCUCUUUGUUCAUUAGCUGGAUCUCAGUGUUAUGCUUGGUUCCACUCGGCGUGAUAAGUUAUCUAUCGCUGAGGACACUGUAAAAGGUGGCCAAGGUAAAUGCAGAUGAACCGCUUCUGAUAGUCCAUUGACUUGGACAAUACUUUUAUGAUCUGAUCUCAAAUCAGGUAGGACUACCCGCUGAACUUAAGC